rnacentral:rRNA from 1 species
AUGAACGCUAGCUACAGGCUUAACACAUGCAAGUCGAGGGGCAGCAUGGUCUAGCAAUAGACUGAUGGCGACCGGCGCACGGGUGAGUAACACGUAUCCAACCUACCGGUUAUUCUGGGAUAGCCUUUCGAAAGAAAGAUUAAUACCGGAUAGUAUAACGAGAAGGCAUCUUCUUGUUAUUAAAGAAUUUCGAUAACCGAUGGGGAUGCGUUCCAUUAGUUUGUUGGCGGGGUAACGGCCCACCAAGACAUCGAUGGAUAGGGGUUCUGAGAGGAAGGUCCCCCACAUUGGAACUGAGACACGGUCCAAACUCCUACGGGAGGCAGCAGUGAGGAAUAUUGGUCAAUGGACGAGAGUCUGAACCAGCCAAGUAGCGUGAAGGAUGACUGCCCUAUGGGUUGUAAACUUCUUUUAUAUGGGAAUAAAGUGCAGUAUGUAUACUGUUUUGUAUGUACCAUACGAAUAAGGAUCGGCUAACUCCGUGCCAGCAGCCGCGGUAAUACGGAGGAUCCGAGCGUUAUCCGGAUUUAUUGGGUUUAAAGGGAGCGUAGGCGGAAGCUUAAGUCAGUUGUGAAAGUUUGCGGCUCAACCGUAAAAUUGCAGUUGAUACUGGGUUUCUUGAGUGCAGUAGAGGUAGGCGGAAUUCGUGGUGUAGCGGUGAAAUGCUUAGAUAUCACGAAGAACUCCGAUUGCGAAGGCAGCUUACUGGACUGUAACUGACGCUGAUGCUCGAAAGUGUGGGUAUCAAACAGGAUUAGAUACCCUGGUAGUCCACACAGUAAACGAUGAAUACUCGCUGUUUGCGAUAUAAUGCAAGCGGCCAAGCGAAAGCAUUAAGUAUUCCACCUGGGGAGUACGCCGGCAACGGUGAAACUCAAAGGAAUUGACGGGGGCCCGCACAAGCAGUGGAGUAUGUGGUUUAAUUCGAAGCAACGCGAAGAACCUUACCAAGUCUUGACAUCCCGGUGACAGAACAUGUAAUGUGUUUUCCCUUCGGGGCACCGGUGACAGGUGGUGCAUGGUUGUCGUCAGCUCGUGCCGUGAGGUGUCGGCUUAAGUGCCAUAACGAGCGCAACCCUUAUCUUUAGUUACUAACAGGUCAUGCUGAGGACUCUAGAGAGACUGCCGUCGUAAGAUGUGAGGAAGGUGGGGAUGACGUCAAAUCAGCACGGCCCUUACGUCCGGGGCUACACACGUGUUACAAUGGGGGGUACAGAAGGCAGCUACACAGCGAUGUGAUGCUAAUCCCAAAAGCCUCUCUCAGUUCGGAUUGGAGUCUGCAACCCGACUCCAUGAAGCUGGAUUCGCUAGUAAUCGCGCAUCAGCCACGGCGCGGUGAAUACGUUCCCGGGCCUUGUACACACCGCCCGUCAAGCCAUGAAAGCCGGGGGUACCUGAAGUCCGUAACCGUAAGGAGCGGCCUAGGGUAAAACUGGUAAUUGGGGCU